rnacentral:rRNA from 1 species
AUUGAACGCUGGCGGCAGGCCUAACACAUGCAAGUCGAGCGGAGCGGCGGACGGGUGAGUAAUGCCUAGGAAUCUGCCUGGUAGUGGGGGAUAACGUCCGGAAACGGGCGCUAAUACCGCAUACUAUCAGAUGAGCCUAGGUCGGCUUAGCUAGGUGGUGGGGUAAAGGCCUAACAAGGCGACGAGCCGUAACUGGUCUGAGAGGGUGAUCGGCCACACUGUGACUGAGACACGGCCCAGACUCCUACGGGAGGCAGCAGUAGGGAAUCUUCGGCAAUGGACGAAAGUCUGACCGAGCAACGCCGCGUGAGUGAAGAAGGUUUUCGGAUUGUAAAGCACUUUAAGUUGGGAGGCGUUACCAACAGAAUAAGCACCGGCUAACUUCGUGCCAGCAGCCGCGGUAAUUC